rnacentral:rRNA from 1 species
AGAGUUUGAUCCUGGCUCAGGACGAACGCUGGCGGCGCGCCUAACACAUGCAAGUCGAACGGAGCUGAGAGGAGCUUGCUUUUCUUAGCUUAGUGGCGAACGGGUGAGUAACGCGUGAGUAACCUGCCCUGGAGUGGGGGACAACAGUUGGAAACGACUGCUAAUACCGCAUAAGCCCACGGCCCGGCAUCGGGCUGCGGGAAAAGGAUUUAUUCGCUUCAGGAUGGACUCGCGUCCAAUUAGCUAGUUGGUGAGGUAACGGCCCACCAAGGCGACGAUUGGUAGCCGGACUGAGAGGUUGAACGGCCACAUUGGGACUGAGACACGGCCCAGACUCCUACGGGAGGCAGCAGUGGGGGAUAUUGCACAAUGGGGGAAACCCUGAUGCAGCGACGCCGCGUGGAGGAAGAAGGUUUUCGGAUUGUAAACUCCUGUCGUUAGGGACGAUAAUGACGGUACCUAACAAGAAAGCACCGGCUAACUACGUGCCAGCAGCCGCGGUAAAACGUAGGGUGCAAGCGUUGUCCGGAAUUACUGGGUGUAAAGGGAGCGCAGGCGGACCGGCAAGUUGGAAGUGAAAACUAUGGGCUCAACCCAUAAAUUGCUUUCAAAACUGCUGGCCUUGAGUAGUGCAGAGGUAGGUGGAAUUCCCGGUGUAGCGGUGGAAUGCGUAGAUAUCGGGAGGAACACCAGUGGCGAAGGCGACCUACUGGGCACCAACUGACGCUGAGGCUCGAAAGCAUGGGUAGCAAACAGGAUUAGAUACCCUGGUAGUCCAUGCCGUAAACGAUGAUUACUAGGUGUUGGAGGAUUGACCCCUU